AUUUUUUUUUUUUUUUUUUUGGGGGUCAAAACACUGGCUGAUGUUGAGGUAAAGAUAUGUUGUAAUAAGAGAACUCUAUGUUUAUCAAAUGAAUCGAGAAAAAAAUUACACAAUGUGUUAAUAAUAAACUGACAUUGAAAAAAAAAUCAUAACAAAAGAUGCUACAUGUGAAGAAAAACGAGCUCUCAUUAGGAUAGGCUCAUAAAUACUGUAAUAGGAAUACAUUCUGAAUAGAACCAAUAAAAUGUUUAGAAACCCAAUAUGAACAAAGGAAAGAUGAUUUAGCCCAUUAAACCCAAAUAUCACUCCAACAAGC
rnacentral:lncRNA from 1 species